ensembl:lncRNA
GGGGAUAGCCAGAGCGACCUCUGAUGUUCUUGGCACCGAACCACAACAGGCACAGAAGGGGCCUUGAGAUCAUCCAGUGCAGCCCCUCCCUUUGCAGAGAGGAGCUGGGGCCCAGGAGGGGCGUGGUCUGGGCCCGUUUCCCGGGUCCUUCGCCAGCCAGCGCACUGGGCACCCCGGUGACGAUUUUCACAGGGAAGAGCCAAGCAUACAGUUGGCACCAGCCAAUGUUCCAAGGUUCCUCGGUUGGAAGCUUCCUUUGGACCUAAAAUCUGGUCACUGGGAGAAGCGGCUGUGACUCAGGUCUGGAAGUCCUCUUCCAUCUUUCUAAGGUGUGAUCAAAAAUACAGUGACUGUCACUACUGAGAACAAUGCAAGAGAAAGGAGGGCUCCUAAAAACAUCCCGGUGUGUCCACAUCCAGCUUAUUCACCAAUCUUGGACGUACAACUUCUGCCUCUUCCCCAAAGUCGAAAUGAUCAUGGAAGGAUCACACUGGUAGAUUUUCAAAUAUUAAACAAGGCUCACAUCUUUGGGAAUUAAAUCCCAAUCCCAUUAGGAAGUGGAUCAGUUAUGCAACUCGGGAUGUUCAGAAAUCCCUGCACACCCUUCCUGCUGAAGACGUCAUGCAGAAGGCUAGGAGCAGCUCGCAGCUGGAUGGAGAGGCAGGACCUGCAGAUUGUUUUUGCUCUCUCUGCUGCCUCCCUCUUACAGUUCCUGCUCUGUUCAGGGGCCUUGGGGAAGAGAAGAAUGUGAAAAAUAAGCUCGUACCAUGUGGGAAUGGCUGAUACUAGUUUCACAGGUUAAUCUGCUUCCCAAGGUGGGGGUUUUGCUUUUCACACAGUGAACUCAGAGCUAGAAUCCCCAGUGACAGAAUUUCCGGCACUCUUGCUUUAUGGAUGCUUUCCUAGGUGGGAGCAAACCUGGGUUAAGUGCGGUGAGAGGGUUUGGGAGGUGCUAUCCACGUUGCACCCAUAUUCCCGACUCUGCCACUUGCUAGCUACGAAAUUUGGGGCAAGUGACUUCACCUCUCUAAAUCGCCUGCCAUAGAUUUGAGUUUCCCUGGGAGUAGACUCUGAUUCAAGGGUGGAUGUGUAAGCAGUGGGGGUGGAGGUGAUCCCAAGAGUCACUGUCAAGGGAACACUAUAGGACAUAAGCUAAGGAAGGCAGCCAGUACAGGGGUGGGAGUGAGAAGUGUCCCCUGGGGGUGCUGGCAGACCAGGCAGAACACACCUAGAGGUGGCCCCCGAGAGGAGUGGCAGCUGGGGUUCAGCCAUUGGUCCAGGGCUGCCCCCCAUGUCUCCAGCACCCGGAGCCCUCAGAGAAGGCUCCAGAGGCAGAGAGCAGCUCCUGGCUUGUAGUUGGAGGCUGGAAGACCCUUCUUACCCCAAAUCCCUGAAGGCUUCCUGUUACCUGACCUAUGAAGGCCAUGCUCCUCGCUGUGAUGUUAAAAGCCCCCUGUCAUUUGGCCUGGAAUGAUUUUGCCACUUACCUCUUUAUCACUCCUUCACUCCUGCAAAAUCCUAGGACUUGCCUCCUUGGCAUUUAACCUGCCCCAAAAUAAAGAAAAGGAAGAAAAUGGGAACGUUUCAGCUGUGAGCCAACAUGUAGCCCAAGAGUGUCCUUCCAGGGCUCUGCCCCUGGCAUUUUGGACGUGGCUGGAUGACUCCAGCCUUGGGCAUCAUCUGAAAUGGUAGGAAGAGCCACAGCCACUCUGAGAAGUAACGGGAGGUAGCACUGUUAAGAGGCACUGGGCACCUGGAGCCUUGUGGCUUCCUUAGGAAGAAGGGCAUUUCUCUUGUUUAACGUGGAUUUGGGUUGUGCUGGAUCUGAAGUCACUUAUUGUUGGUGCAUGUGUGUGCAUGCAUUUACAUGUGUGUGCACAUGUCUCCCAUGCAGACAAAUCUUUCCCUCUCUGCUCAUCCAGCAACAUUAGGUUGACCAAACCUGGACCAAACAAGGGACUCCCUUAGAUGUUCACUUAGAAGUCAGGAGCUGUGUGCAAACACCAUUUCCCCUGUGAGCACCAGAGGGAGCUGGCCCUGGAAGGGACAGGGGCCAGAACCUUGGAUUCAUUCUGUUCCCACCUUUGCUGCCCCCUGGUCCCUGGUGCAGUUUGGACUGUCACUUUUUUUACAGACUCUAGGGCAUCUGCAGUUUCCUGCUGUGAAUGCCCACUUCCCUUCUGAAAAGCUCCUAGAUGCAUGGCCCACCCUGAUGCCACCUCCUUCUCUAACACAGCCCUGUCACAGCCCCUAACACUAUCUAACACCAGGAAGCACUGGAUAAAAUCUCAUGGUUAGGAGCUCAGAAUCUGGGAUUAGGCAAGACCAAAUGUAAAUCCUGGGUUUACCUUUCAUGAGUUCUAGGAAUUCUGAGCCCUUACCUGCCUAAGCCUCAAGUUCUUCAUCUAGAAAGGGCAGAAGUCAUUAUGCCACUUUGUAGGAUUGCAAAGAGGGUGACAGGAAAAGAUAGAAAGAAUGUGUGCUGCUCAACACAGGGUCAGUCAUUUUUGCUUUGUUUUCCAGUACCAGGGAUCAAACUCAGGACCUUGCACUUUCGAGGCAGGCACAGCACCUCUGAGCUAAAUCCCUGGCCCUAGGGUCAGUCGUUUUGAUGAGUACUAUGCAUGUUGCCUCCAUUCCCAGGUCAGGGUCACAUUUAUUUGGCCCAUGUAAGUGCUCAUGUAUCGACAGUGAUGUUUUUAUCUUUUUUUAAAAAAAAAGUUAUUAGGAGGGCCGGGGAUUUAGCUCAGUGGUUCCAGUGCCUGCCUUGCAAGUGCAAGGUCCCAAGUUUGAUCCCCGGUACCAAAAAAAAAAAGUUAUUAGUAUAUUCUCAUGACAUAUAAUAAAUACAUUUCAUCUUAGGGAACUGGUACCUACACCUGUCACAUCUUGAUCCUCUUUCUUUCCUCUCCCCUCCCUCCUGUCUACCCAAUCCCCAGAACCCCUUCCCAUCUCCAAAAAGUCUAUCUCUCUAUUCCCUAUCAUCUACCUUUUAUUUUGCUCUUUAGAUUAUACUCAGGGUUUCUCAUAUAAGAGGAAACCACACAAUAUUCAACCUUCUGCAUCUGAUUUAUUUAGCACUAUGGUCUCCAGGUGCAUCCCUUUUCUUACAAAUGACUCAAAUUUAUCCUUCUUUAUGGCUGAAUAGCACUCCAUUGGUGAUAUUUGUUUGCAACAUGGCUUUCUAAUCUGACCCAAUAUCAAGACUUUAGCCCACCUCGUUGGCCUUUCAACAAGAAUGUUGAAUGGGCUGGGGAUUUAGCUCAGUGGUGCUGCCACCUGCCUCACAAGUGGAAGGUCCUCAGUUCGAUCCCCAGUACCAAAAAAACCAAAACAAACCAAGAAUGUUGACUGACACCUGUAGGUGUGAAAGGUAAUUUGCACACUCUCAUACCCUUUGACACACUUUUCCUUCCAAGGGCUGUUUUCCUCUCCUUCCUGCGUGCCUGUGUGUGGGGAGGCUGCCUUCCUUGAUAUCUUUACUGCGAAUGCUGGACAUACUUGUGGCUUGAGAAAUGGAGAUCACAGAGUAACAUCCUGGGUUCAGUGGAGGUUGUGUGCAGGGCUUGGUUGCAUGAGAAAUAUCAGUCUCUCAUCCUCAGCAAUGGGAAUAAGACUGGGCUCAGCAGAGGGUCCAGAAGAACAGGGUUACCUUCCCGGCUUCACCAGACUGGACUUUGAAGUAGAGAGUAGCCGGGGUAAUGCAUGCUAGCUACUGGGAUAAACGUGAUUCUCUAGGGUUAAACACAUUCAUUUUGUUAGUGUGACAGACAGAAAACAAGGGAAGUCCUCUAAGCCCAUCUGUGCGUGACCAGCACACUCACCUUCCAUCUCAUGCAUUCUUGGCUUGGAACAACAUGCGUGUCAUUCAUACUGCAGAUAACAAAUGCAAUCUGGUGGCUUUCUUCUCUACCUUUAUUUAUUUGCUUUGGAAUUUAUUGUAUCAUUUUUUUGGCAUAAGAUGUGGCUUCCCAGUAACUAUAAGUUUGCUUAAGUUUAUGUUUAAAAAAAUAGAAAAGAAUUUGUGUUUCCUGAGCACAGACUAAGG